GAAGUACUCCCUCUGUCCAGAAUUACUUGUCAUCAAAAUGGAUGUGUCUAGAACUAAAAUACAUCUAGAUACAUCCAUUUCAAUGACAAGUAUUUCCGGAUGGAGGGAGUACAAG
rnacentral:pre_miRNA from 1 species